rnacentral:lncRNA from 1 species
GUCCAGUUCUCAGGUGUUUACCACCUAUUAGAAAUUCACCUGUAUGGGUCCCGUGUUUGAGAAAGUCCCAGGACCUGUCAACUCUCUAGGCCUCAUAAAAGACAGCUCUGUUCAGGGUUUGAAAGGGACUGCAGUUAAAAGCUAGGGCUAGGACUUGGAGGAUGUGUAGGCAAACGGAAGCAGAGCCGGGGAAAGAAAAACCGAAAUGGAUUCAUUCUCUGUCCUGGAGGGAGGAGGAGAGGAGAGGAGAGAAGAAGGGGACGUGCGAGCUUCCUUCAGCUGCCUCUGUCCGGUGGAAAGUGCUCAGACCCCCGGGGCUGCGCCGGCCUCAGGCUCCGCACGGACUUUCGCUCCAAGUUGCCAAUCAAGGCUCUCACUAGCCACCACCCUGCUCUGGCACCGACACGAUCUGCAGGAUCUCCCUCUGUGAGAUGCAACUCAGCAGCUCUGUCCUCUCUGCCCUCUCAGUGCUGCCAGUGGAGGAGCCCAGGAGGAGCACAGAGCAGUGGCUGAGCAGCAAUUUGAAUAUUCAUAUUUAACUCUUCAAACGACAGAAGAUACUUCAAAACCAUGCGUGAGACAAAAUGCCAUUAGACUUUCAAUUAUUAAACCUCUGUUUAGCUGUACUUCAGAAAUGAGCAGUUCAUAACAAACGGGGAAUUCUGAUUGACAGUUUGCCAUCAGGUGCCCUUAAGUAGGAUUUUUUUUCCAGC